UACGUAGGUGGCAAGCGUUGUUCGGAAUUACUGGGCGUAAAGGGCUCGUAGGUGGCCAACUAAGUCAGACGUGAAAUCCCUCGGCUUAACCGGGGAACUGCGUCUGAUACUGGAUGGCUUGAGUUUGGGAGAGGGACGCGGAAUUCCACGUGUAGCAGUGAAAUGCGUAGAGAUGUGGAGGAACACCGAUGGCGAAGGCAGCCCCUGGGCUGAGAUUGACGCUCAGGCACGAAAGCGUGGGGAGCAAACAGG
rnacentral:rRNA from 1 species